rnacentral:rRNA from 1 species
GCAGAGCAUCCUACGGGAGGCAGCAGUGGGGAAUAUUGCACAAUGGGCGCAAGCCUGAUGCAGCCAUGCCGCGUGUAUGAAGAAGGCCUUCGGGUUGUAAAGUACUUUCAGCAGUGAGGAAGGUGGGUAUGUUAAUAGCAUAUUCAUUUGACGUUAGCUGCAGAAGAAGCACCGGCUAACUCCGUGCCAGCAGCCGCGGUAAUACGGAGGGUGCGAGCGUUAAUCGGAAUUACUGGGCGUAAAGCGCAUGCAGGUGGUUUGUUAAGUCAGAUGUGAAAGCCCGGGGCUCAACCUCGGAAUUGCAUUUGAAACUGGCAAACUAGAGUACUGUAGAGGGGGUAGAAUUUCAGGUGUAGCGGUGAAAUGCGUAGAGAUCUGAAGGAAUACCGGUGGCGAAGGCGGCCCCCUGGACAGAUACUGACACUCAGAUGCGAAAGCGUGGGGAGCAAACAGGAUUAGAUACCCUGGUAG